UACGUAGGGUGCAAGCGUUGUCCGGAAUUAUUGGGCGUAAAGAGCUCGUAGGCGGUUUUGUCGCGUCUGCUGUGAAAACCCGAGGCUCAACCUCGGGCCUGCAGUGGGUACGGGCAGACUAGAGUGCGGUAGGGGAGAUUGGAAUUCCUGGUGUAGCGGUGGAAUGCGCAGAUAUCGGAAGGAACAUCAGUGGCGAAAGCGGCUUCCUGGACCAGCACCCGACGGUUCAGGCACGAAAGCGUGGGGAGCAAACAGG
rnacentral:rRNA from 1 species